UGGAAUAAAUCAGAUCAAUUGCACCCAAAAAGUUCAUACUCCCAAAUUAAACAUAUAACAUUCCCUAAUAUUGUCGUUUGUCACAAGACUGUGAUGACUCUUCUCCAAAUAAAAACAACUAGCAGAUCCUUCCUCAUUAGAAACACUUGCUCCUCCUCCUACAACUUUCAUCUGAAUUGAAUUGCUAAAGAAGGAAUCCAUCAAUUGAUUCCCUGGCGCUAGACACCACAUCAAACACAUGAAAUCACAUAAAUAAAUAUAGUCAUUCUUGGGAAAUGCUCAUUGGCAACCUCUAACAUGAUGAAUUUUAGCUUCUCUGCAGUAUUUUGGACAACCACAUCCAGGUAUUACUACAACAGCAAUGCCUAAAACAGCUUAAGAACUUGAAUGAUGACAUUAUUGCAAGAAAGUUGGGAAUUUAACUCUUAAAAGGCUUCAUGAAGCACUCUUCAUAAUCCUAUAUACGAAAUUAAAAGUUCAUGCAUAUUUCCUGGAGGACCUUGAAAACCUUUAAAAGUUAUUGAAAUGUUUAUUAUGGCAUAAGGUCAAGUCAUUCCAGAACCAGGUUUUCUUUGUUUUGUGUUUAGUCAGGAACACAUAUCAACUCUGGUUGCAGGUCCAAGGUCAGACUAGGUCAUUUCCCAAAAAUUUCAUGGAUUUUCCCAAUAAUUUUAAGUGUUAAAAGGUCAUACACCCAUAUCUGAAUAUUCCUUAUUUGUAAGGUAAAGUGAAGCAUUAAAGUAGCUACUGUUUUAUGCUCAUUAAAUCUUAACAUUAGGAAACCACUCACCCUCCACUUAAGAAUAAUCGACCAAUGGUGGCAAUGAGAAGCCAUGCACGGAGCCCAGGGUGUAUGAAGUAUACAACUUGAAGCCUGUCCUUGUAACCAGAAGGAAGUUCUUCAUAGAUCCACCUCAAGAUAGUUGCACCAGGGGAGUUGUCCUCCUUUUGCACAGUAGUAUGCAUGUAUACAAUGCAGAAUGGUCCUUCAGGCAACUCACUGCAUAUUUUGUGGAAAAUGUACUUCUUCAGUCUCUCCCCACUAACAACUUGAGCUGCAUACCAUAAGGGGCGAACUUUACAAUUACAAUUACAUUGAGGUCUGAACUUAAUAUGAAAUAAUGAAAAAUCAAUAAAGAAUGAAGAGAGAGAGAGAGAGAGA
rnacentral:misc_RNA from 1 species